rnacentral:lncRNA from 1 species
GUGAGUAAAAUAUUAUCAUGAAGCAAGGCCCAGACAAAAAGGGGCCCUAGAUGUGGUCCCAACUGAACCACCUACCUCCGAAUAAGGCCAACCGACAGACCUAAGCCUGCUCAGCAAUUCCAAAAGACUAAUGUCUGGCCAGCGGCUUAGACUUGUGUGUGUGUGUGUGUGUGUGUGUGUGUGUGUGUGUGUGUGUGUCUGUCUGUCUGUGUGUGUGUGAGAGAGAGAGAGAGAGAGAGAGAGAGAGAGAGAGAGAGAGUUAUAAGGUCUUACUUAGCAAACGGUUUUUAUUCAAAAAUACAUCCCCAGCACCUUGCUUCCAUUCUUAAACUGGGGAGGGGGAUGGAAGGUUGGGGGGACGCAGUGGAGAAAUGCUGUAUAAUCUUCCUGCUUGGUUGCCAGAGCCUUUCCUGAACGUUAAUUCUCUCCGAAUGAAAUCUCAAAGGAUUGUGCCUGUGCUAAAGUUUCUAGUAUGAGAACUGCGCAAGGUGAUAAUGCAAUUAACCUGAGUAAUACUUCAAACGUCUUGCUAAUAUAUACAUCAUGUAUAUGUAUACGCAUGUGUGUAUGUGCAUAUGUAUAUGUAUAUGAAGUAUAUGUAUGUUAUGUAUGUGUAUGUGUAUUGCCAGUUUAGAUUGUGUUCAUGAUGUGAUUUCAAAAAUUAGCCUCAGAGGUUUGUGAAUUUGCUCAAAUUAAAAGGAUAAAGAUGAUUUAAAGAUAAAUUAAAAGGAUAAAGAAGAACCGGCUGGUUCUUCUUAAUAUUUUCUAAUAUAGUUUAUCAGCAUUCUGAACGGCUACUCUGCAGCCUUUCUCUGUUCACUUCCUAGACUCUGCAGCAAAAGUCUGUGGUUAUUAUUUAAGGAUCACGGUGAUUCCCUUCACGGCAUGGGGGAAUAAAGAAAAGCAAGAGCAGGGCUAUUAUCCUGUGUUUAUAACAAGUCUGUUGCCAUAGUAACGCCUGUGAUGUCACAAAUGUUACACCCAGGGCCAGAAGCUGUCUCUGAGGGGGAGGGGCAGCUUGGCCUUGGAAAAACGGACACAAGUAUGUGAGGCCAAAGCAGGGUCAACAGCGAGGUAAUCAUGGAAACACAGGGAGCUCCCUUCACCAGAGAAAGGAAGGGGGUGGAGUAGGGCCAGAAAAGCAACUCCCUGGGCCCACAAGUGAGCUCACCCACGCUUCUUGUACGCAGCUGUGCAAAGGGAGUGGAAAUCCAAGCGAAUGUGGUACCUCUGUGUUCCCAGUCAGGAGCAUUCCACUGGGCUCACUGGCUGCCAAGAUGUGAAUGGGAUCCAGGGUCUGCCCUAGCUCACGAAACUGACGGGAACCAGCGCCUGCCCAGACAGAGCCUCUAAGGCCCCCAAGAGAUGCAAGAUACAUGGCAGCCCCACCCCCACCCCACCCCCCCACCCCCGAGAACCUAGCUGGGACAUUCCCACCAAAACUCAUCAGAUUCAGAGAGCCACAGAUUCUCA